CGAAAGAAGAGGUGCAACCAAAAAUCAAAAAGCCAUGUCAGUUAGAAAAGGUGCAGCACUCACUCUCACUCUCAAAUCAGAAAUUUAUUGGUUAAAAUGACAUUUUGGCCAUUAUCAAGGCCUUCAUCGACAUCAAGAACAGCACUACCAAACCAUGCUUUAAACAUUCUUGUAACCAGCAACAGGUGUGUCACUCUGCCAAUUUGGGGAGUGGCUUCCAACCAAGUUUAAGUAGAAAAAAAAAAAAAAAGGAAAACAGAGAAUCAGUAAAACAUACCAUAAUCAAUUUCCUGAUUGAGACCUCUGGGAAAUAAUGUGUAAAAAAAUCCAAAAAGUCUCCCUUACGUUUCACAACAAUAUUACCUCCCUGACCUACUGAAUGGACUUGUUCAAUACCAAAGUAAAAAAAAAAAUGUUUUAUAUUUUUUUAAAUGUGCUGAUGGAUUGCUCAUGUCCCCACAUCUUAUUGCCCUGCAUAAAUCAGAAUAUUACAUCUCAUAUGCUGAGGUCUAAAUGUACACUAACCGUUUUGAGUAAAAAUGUUACAUAGAAAUUUAGUCAUCAUUAAACUGUAUUGAUAUAAUAAUAUAAUGACACAUGCAACGAUGCAAAUAUACGUAGCCUAUCUGUAGCCCUAUACAUCUAUAUGGUACAAUAAGAUUUCAUUAAUGUUAGCUAAUGUAUUAUCUAACAUGAGCAUACAAUGUAUAAAAUACAUUUAUUAGAGUAUUACAUUAAAAUACAUUACAGUAUUUAUUCAUCUUUGUUAAUGUUAGUUAAUGAAAAUACAGUCGUUCAUUGAUAGUUCAUGUUAGUUCACAGUGCAUUAACAAAUGUUAACAAACAACUUUUGAUUUUAAUAAUGCAUUAGUAAAUGUUGAAAUUAACAUUAAGAUAAAUGCUGCAGAAGUAUUGUUCAUUCUUAGUUCAUGUUAACUAAUGUUAACUACUGAACCUUAUUGUGAAGUGUUACCAUUUAUAUAAACAUAUCUGUAUACAAUAAAGUCACAAUACCAACUACUAAAAGGAGGUUUCCAGCCGACAGCAAAAAUGUAUUUUGCCAAUGUCACAAUAUGAGGUAAAUCCGGCCCUGUGUGUGAUACUGAUUAUGUUGCCAAACUGGUUUGGAACAGUUGUUGAAUAAACAAACAAUUAAACUGAACAUGCCUGUCUAUCUGCUUGCCUGACAGUUUUAUUGAUCACAGAGAGAGCAUUAAUUUGGCAUGAUGUUGGUUCAAUAGAAAAAAUAUAUAUUUUUUAAAAAUAGCUUAGAUGUAGUAAACUACUUUUGCCAAGUUGAUGUAUCUUAGCUUGCUACAUUUCCCAGGGCUGUAGCUUUAGUGUAGUUAACUGUUAGCUUAGCUCACUACAUUUUCCAAGUAGCUUACCCAACACUGGUUAUUACGUGAGCACCUGACGAUUAGUUUAAUAUUAAAACCGUGUUUCUUCAAUAACUUUUUUGUUUUGUUUUUAUCAAAUGCAUUAGCUCUUCACAGCGAGGUUUUAUAUUACCGUGUCUCCUCUCUUGCCACCUCAGCGAGGGGACAAAGCCAGCUGCCUCUCCCGCUAAUCUCCGCCUCUGCGGCGGGAGACGCGCUGCCUGCGUUUGUCUUAUUACCAAACGCACCCCGAGACUUGAAGUACCAAGGCUCUGAUAUGUUUACCUUUACUCUUUUGCACACGCCAUUUGAAGCUUUAUCUGUGUAUUGACACAGGGGGAUUAGGUUGGUGUGAAACAAGGCUUCUUUAUCAGUCCCAGCUCUACCACCCCUUAGACGCUCCAUAAUCCCUACAAAGAGAACCGAGAGAGGGAGACAAACAGACAUAUUCGGUAUCGUCCCGUACAUUCGCCAUUUAUCUCUCUGAGGUAUUUGCAUUUGACACUGCGGCUCGCAGACUCUAAACAAACAAAAGAGUUUGCGCGUGCACUUGAAAAGUUUAUUUUCAAUUAACUAGCUACUUAAAAGUUUUUAUUCUGCCUCUUACCUAGCAGGCCACGGUUUCCAUGGCAACACGGGGCAUUUGUUUGACAAGCGGUGACUGGCGUAAUCCCCGUUGCCCUCCAUCUCUGACUGGCAGUGUGAAAAUUACAUUGAUUUCAUCCCAAAUUAAUUGCCACCAUUUUGACACCACUUCAACCGUCUACUCAACACACCAUGUGGAUUUCAUCUCCCGCGGAUUUCAUAUGCAGGUACUCAAUAUCAGCUGUGUGGUAGCCAUCUCUCUGUCCCCUCCUGAGCACUCGGAAGCGACUUCCUCCCACUGUUUCCACAUAGGAGCGACCAUCAGGAAGCAAUUCCAGAUCCAAAAUAUCCAACAUGCAGCCAUAAUCUGCAAAGCUGUGACAGGGAAUUCUGGGAUCAAAACACUAGAAAGGCAUUCCAUCUGCACAUGCCAAACUUUUUGGUGCCUGUCUCCAUACAUCGCCGCAUCAUCAGACGGUAACGAGGCUCAAAGAUGUGCAGCGGACAUGGGAUGCCAGGUUCCUCAUCAUCCUCAGCAGUGGGGAGGAAGGACACGGCCUGACACAGGCUCAGACAGCACUCGCCGCUGGUGCCGUGCUUCACUUUAGGUGCAUUCUAGGAGGACAGAACAGGAAAGAGCCUGAGAUGUCAUUACACAACAGCAUUAGCGCAACCACCUCACCUGCCCGGGAUCACUUUGGCCUUCAGCGUUGUUGUGGGAGUAGCGCUGACCAUCUGGACACGAGGGGCUUACAGAGCUGGUGAUAGGACAGGGAUCUUGCAAGUACUCAGACACAACAUGCAGGAUCCGUGAAACUUCUUCUGGUACAGCCAUGCCCUCUGCUUCCAGGAUCUGCAUACGAAUCAGGGCAAAAUCAGGAUGCUGCUUCAGGCAACGGUAAAACUGGAUGAGGGCUUCAGUCUGUUUGCCCAUUUCAAGAAGCACAUUCCCUUUACGAAAGAAACCCUACAAAACACACAAUUCAAACAAAUUAUCACAG